UACAGAGGGUGCAAGCGUUAAUCGGAAUUACUGGGCGUAAAGCGUGCGUAGACGGUUAUGUAAGUCAGAUGUGAAAGCCCCGGGCUUAACCUGGGAAUGGCAUUUGAGACUGCAUAGCUAAGGUGCGGAAGAGGGGAAGCGGAAUUUCCGGUGUAGCGGUGAAAUGCGUAGAUAUACGGAAGGAACAUCAGUGGCAGGUAAGGCGAACUUCCUGGACCAAUCAGACGCUCAUGUGCGAAAAGCGUGGGGUGCCAAACAGGA
rnacentral:rRNA from 1 species